rnacentral:lncRNA from 1 species
GGUCGGGGGGCAGAGCAGGCGCCACCCAGGGCCCUGCUCCCUGCACCCCCCUCGUCCACACAUGAGAACUUCGAGUCUGGAAAACGGCCCAGCACCCACUUCCUAGGGAGCGCACGUGUGAGGCCAGCAGGACCAGGCAGCUGGUGGGAAGAAGACCCUGUGAGCUCAGACUGUCCUUUCCGGGGGGGAGGUGGUCCCUGGAGCAACCAGAGCUCUAAAACAUCUUCACUCGUGGCCUCUUCAGGGACGAAGAGCUGGUUCUUCCACGGGCUCAGCUUUGAAGUGUUCAUUUGCACACACAGGACCAGCCAGGAGCAUCGCAGCCAAAGGCCGUCUCCAUCCGAGUGUUGCUUGUUUUUGAGCCCGGAGUCUCUUCCUUGGGGACAGACCCCUCUCAGCCCUCGACACCUGCUGUGUGUUUCGCACUUACAGCCUUUCAGGCUGGACCGGCCGCAUUUUGAGGGCCCAGCGGCCGUCUGCCUGAGUCAGCGCGGACCUAAAGCAAACUGCACCGCCAAACUCGGCUCCUCUGUUGUCCAGGACCCUGCUGAGGCCACGGGUCUGAGCAUCCUCCUCUCGGCGCUCAGUGUGCUAUGAGCAUCUCUGCAAUAAAAGCACCUUCGAAGGACA